rnacentral:rRNA from 1 species
CCUACGGGAGGCAGCAGUCGAGAAUCAUUCACAAUGGGGGAAACCCUGAUGGUGCGACGCCGCGUGGGGGAAUGAAGGUCUUCGGAUUGUAAACCCCUGUCAUGUGGGAGCAAAUUAAAAAGAUAGUACCACAAGAGGAAGAGACUGCUAACUCUGUGCCAGCAGCCGCGGUAAUACAGAGGUCUCAAGCGUUGUUCGGAAUCACUGGGGGUAAAGCGUGCGUAGGCUGUUUCGUAAGUCGUGUGUGAAAGGCGCGGGCUCAACCCGCGGACGGCACAUGAUACUGCGAGACUAGAGUGAUGGAGGGGGAAGCGGAAUUCUCGGUGUAGCAGUGAAAUGCGUAGAUAUCGAGAGGAACACUCGUGGCGAAGGCGGGUUCCUGGACAUUAACUGACGCUGAGGCACGAAGGCCAGGGGAGCGAAAGGGAUUAGAUACCCGAGUAGUC